UACGGAGGGUGCAAGCGUUAAUCGGAAUUACUGGGCGUAAAGCGCACGCAGGUGGCUGAGCGAGUCGAUUGUGAAAGCCCUGGGCUUAACCUGGGGAUUGCAGUCGAUACUACUCAGCUAGAGUAUGGGAGAGGGUAGUGGAAUUCCCGGUGUAGUGGUGAAAUGCGUAGAUAUCGGGAGGAACAUCAGUGGCGAAGGCGGCUCCUGGCCCAAUACUGACACUCAGGUGCGA
rnacentral:rRNA from 1 species